CUCGUAGNGGGGGAUAACAGUUGGAAACAGCUGCUAAUACCGCAUAAUAUGUCUGUGUCGCAUGGCACUGGGCAUCAAAGAUUUAUCGCUCUGAGAUGGACUCGCGUCUGAUUAGCUAGUUGGCGGGGUAACGGCCCACCAAGGCGACGAUCAGUAGCCGGACUGAGAGGUUGGCCGGCCACAUUGGGACUGAGACACGGCCCAGACUCCUACGGAAGGCAGCAG
rnacentral:rRNA from 1 species